ACGGUAGAGGGGCAACCCUUGAGAGUGGCGAACGGGUGAGUAAUAUAUCGGAACGUGCCCAGUCGUGGGGGAUAACGCAGCGAAAGCUGCGCUAAUACCGCAUACGAUCUAUGGAUGAAAGCGGGGGAUCGCAAGACCUCGCGCGAUUGGAGCGGCCGAUAUCAGAUUAGGUAGUUGGUGGGGUAAAAGCCCACCAAGCCGACGAUCUGUAGCUGGUCUGAGAGGACGACCAGCCACACUGGGACUGAGACACGGCCCAGACUCCUACGGGAGGCAGCAGUGGGGAAUUUUGGACAAUGGGCGCAAGCCUGAUCCAGCAAUGCCGCGUGCAGGACGAAGGCCUUCGGGUUGUAAACUGCUUUUGUACGGAGCGAAACGGUCUGGGUUAAUACCCUGGGCUAAUGACGGUACCGUAAGAAUAAGCACCGGCUAACUACGUGCCAGCAGC
rnacentral:rRNA from 1 species